AGGAACAUGACUAACCCGGGGGAGGAAGACACAGAAAAGCAACAGCUCUGUCAUUGGCUGACAAGAUCCUGACAGCAAAACAAUGAGAGCUGUACUCCUUGCUAGUCUUUACUAGUAGCUGUUACUUCUGUUCUCUGGAAAUUCUUUAAACCUAGGAUCAGACACAAAAACUGAUUGGGUCCCCAAUCCUCAUUUGUCCUUGAAGUAUGAGGCUGGUGGCAAGAGUAACUGUGUUUCUGACCUUUGGGACUAUAAUUGAUGCUAAGACCACUCAGCCCACCUCCAUGGAUUGUGCUGAAGGAAGAGCUGCAAACCUACCCUGUAAUCACUCUACCAUCAGUGGAAAUGAGUACAUACAUUGGUAUCGACAGAGUUACUCCCAGGAGCCACAGUAUGUCAUUCAUGGUCUAAAAAACAAUGAGACCAAUGAAAUGGCCUCUCUGAUCAUUGCAGAAGACAGAAAGUCCAGCAUCUUGAUCCUGCCUCAUGCUACGCUGAGAGACACUGCUGUGUAUUAUUGCAUCCCCGGAAGUUACCUACCUACAUUUGGAAGAGGAACCAGCCUCAUUGUUCAUCCAUAUAUCCAGAACCCUGACCCUGCCGUGUACCAGCUGAGAGACUCUAAAUCCAGCAACUCCUCUGUCUGCCUGUUCACUGAUUUUGAUUCUAAAAUGAAUGUGUCAGAAAGUAAGGAGUCUAAAGUGUACAUCACAGAUAAAACUGUGCUAGACAUGAGGUCUAUGGACUCCAAGAGCAAUGGUGCCGUGGCCUGGAGCAGCAAUUCCAAUUUUAAAUGCACAGACGCCUUCAGCGGCAGCUCUCUUCCAGAAAACACCUUCUUCUCCGGCUCAGAAAGUCUCUGCGAUGCCAGCCUGGUCGAGAAAAGCUUUGAAACAGAUAUGAACCUAAACUUUCAAAACCUGUCAGUGAUUGGGUUCCGAAUCCUCCUCCUGAAAGUGGCCGGCUUUAAUCUGCUCAUGACUCUGCGGCUGUGGUCCAGCUGAGGUCCGGAAGAUUAUAAGAGAGCCUGUGCUCCCUGGUGCCUUCAUCUGCACCACCCCUCCUCUCCCUCUCCAAGCAGAGGGAACACUCCCACCCCCAUGGAGGAGAAAGCUGCUAUCACCUCUGUGCACUCCCCUUCCCGCCCCCCGCGAUGCCACCAACUGGAUCCUACCCGAAUUUGUGAUGAAGAUUGCUGAAGAGCUGCCAGACGCUGCUGCCGCCCCGCUCCCUUAUUGCUGCUUGUCACUGCCUGACACGCACGGCAGAGGCGAGGCUGCGGCAGCCUCCCGCUCCCCAGAGCCUGCCUCCGCCACCCCACAGAUGAUGGGUCCUCAGUGGGUUCUCCUGGGCUCUAGGUCCUAGAGAAUGUUGUGAGGGGGUUAUAGUUUUUUAAAUAGUGUUCAUAAAGAAAUACAUAUUCUUCUUCUCAAGAUGUGGGGGAAAUUAAUCUCAUUAUCGAGGCCCUGCUAUGCUGUGUAUCUGGGCGUGUUGUAUAUCUUGCUGCCCAUGGCUUCAUUAAAAAUGACCUGGAAGAGCAGA